AACUUUUGGCAACGGAUCACUGGGUUCUCGCAUCGAUGAAGAACGCAGCGAAAUGCGAUAAGUAAUGUGAAUUGCAGAAUUCAGUGAAUCAUCGAAUCUUUGAACGCACCUUGCGCUCCUUGGUAUUCCGAGGAGCAUGCCUGUUUGAGUGUCAUUAAUAUAUAUAUCAAACCCUCUCUUGUCGAGUGGUUUGGAUGUGGGGGUUUGCUGGCCUCUUGAAGGGUUCAGCUCCUCUGAAAUGCAUUAGCAGAACAACAACCUGUUCAUUGGUGUGAUAACUAUCUACGCUAUUGAAUGUGAGGGUAAAAGUUCAGCUUUCUAACCGUCCAUGGACAAUUUAUCAUUAAUGUGACCUCAAAUCAGGUAGGACUACCCGCUGAACUUAAGCAUAUCAAUAAGCGGAGGCU
rnacentral:misc_RNA from 1 species